rnacentral:lncRNA from 9 species
CAGCACAGCUUGGCCUGCGCCCCGCCCCCCCCAGAGUGGCCGCCAUGUGCUCCUCUCUUUCCUGUCUCGAAUUCGCCCUUGUGGGGAGUCCACAUGGAACAGACUCCCGUGGGGUAGAGUCUUCACGGCUGGAACUCUCUUGAGAAGCUCCCCCGAAACCUAGACUCAGAGAGAGUGUGGAAUGGCCUAGAGGGGCCGCCGAGGUUGACCCACCCCCAUCAUAAUUAAUUCAAGGAGUCUUGGCUUGAGCUCAGUAUCAGGAAAACCACGGGGCUGCCUCAAGAUGUCCAGCUUCCUGCUUGUGCCCCACACUCAGACUAUAGUAUUGAAUUAACCUGAAAAUGGCUUCGUUUAAUCAUUAAUCUGGCAGCAGAGUUGUACAUUAGCUUCCAGAGAGAAUAACCAGCCUUAUACCAAACACAGAUUCACCACACGUUAACUCAGGCUUUCCUAGGAAGGGCAGGCGCCUCCUUCCUGCCAGCCACUUGCUCAUGCAUUUUCCCACCUACUGGAGCAGAAACUCUCUGCAAAGCAUUUCUGGUGCAUUUAAGACCCUGUUCUAUCCUGACUCAUCGGGAAAGCAACAGGGGGAGUUACGACUUCCUGUCCGUUUGAUCUCAUCAUCUGAGUCUGAGUCUGUCAUCUAAAGGGGCCAAGCAACAUUACUCUUAAGUGGUGAGAUGCCCUGGAAAUGCUUCACUGAGCAUCUCCAUGAACCCAUGUUAAUUAUCGACUAGUCUUAAUAGGUUCCUCGUUAACAGAUUACUUGUUAGAGGUCAUUGCCACCUUGGAGCCCUUGGGUCUGGGUUAAGUCACUAGUGCCCACAGAGCUCAGCUGGGAAGAAGAAAUCACAGACACCUCGCCAACCAUUCCCUUAGGCCUCUGGCUUCAUCUAGUCUGGUCACUGAACCGGCAGCAGAAUGUCCUCCUGUGUCCUCCGGCCACAGAUAACCCCCAUUUAUUAAUGGGGCAGCCCGACAAGCCCCCUUGGGACAAUCCAUGGUACAGAGGGGCCAGCAGGACUGAGCACCAGCCCCCAGUGGAAGAAAAAACGCUGGAACCUAAACAGGCAGCAUCACCCACAGCUCACAGGCCCCCUCCUGCUCCAUCCUCCUCCUCGAAGAAAGCAAACUAAUCUUCCAUCACAAAGACACAGCACAACUUUGAUGGGCCCUUUUGCCUUUUGUAGGUCCUUCCCAUCCUAACAGGAUUUUUGUGGGCCUGGUUAUAGGCUGCAUUAAGCUGCCCCACUCCCAUCCCCACUACGUCACAUGUUGACAUACAAACCCCCAGACCCUCAGGCUGUGACUGCCGUUGGAGACGGAGCCUUCAAUGAGGUAAAUGAGGUGAAACGAGGCCUCUUCCAGUCUGACCGGCAUCUCU